AUCGUUCAUCCUCUUGUUUCCAUUCAGGAGAUGAGGACGGAAGUAGGGGGCACCGGACUCCGAAGGAACGCGCC
rnacentral:ncRNA from 2 species